UUUAUAUUUUUUUCUCUUUACGUUCUUGUGAUUCUGCUGCAAAAUCCAGUUUAAAAUUUUGCAAUUUUUAGAAGUUAUUUUAGGCAACCACUUAUACAAAGAAAAGUAUUGUGGAUUGUCUAUCAUUUUAUUCAAAAUUUUAUCAGGAUCAAAAAACGCAAGUUGCCUGACCUCUUAAAAUUGCAAAAAUUUGAAACUAAAUGGUAGGCAAACCACAAUACUGUAUCCUGUAUAGUUGGUUGCCUAAAAUAGUCUUUAAGAUUUAUAAAAUUUUGACAUGAAUUUCAAAUCAGGAUCACAGGAAUGCAAACAGGAUUGUUUUAGGUUAUGGUGUUCUCCCGAACCUAAUUUUUGAAUUGUGGAACUCCUGGACCAUUAUUUAGUUGGAAAUUUUAUUCUAAUAACGGUCAUCAUUGAAAUUUCGGUACUGAAAGGAUAAAAUCCGACUUUGAAUUCAUGUUGGGGCACAUAGGAUGAAUUUGUUGAGGACACAGGAUAGUAUGGUUCUAAUUAGUACUAGUGAGUUGAAAUUUAUUUGGUUACUAAAAUGGAUUGUUAUACUACACCAUGGUAGACGUGAGUUUAAAAUAUCUAGGUCCUUUGCCCAAACCGUCGAACAAGUGGGGUCCCAAUAAGGACCCAAUGAAACAGUAUGGCAAAAUUUAAGAUAAGAGGAUAUAAUGGGUUAAGCAUGAGUAUAAUCUGUUGUUGAGGACGAAAUUCAUGAUUGUUCCAACUCGGAAGAGGAACCUUUAGGAAGAGGUCGCAUGUUAUUCCAGAUACUAACAUGCUAGCACAUGCUUAUCAAGCAAAGAUGCCACAAAACUAUAUUUUUUCUGAAAAUAUUAUAACUGGUAGAUGUUAUGUAGGUACUCAUUGUUAUUUAUUUUAUUACAGCUUUCUUUAAUAAAGUGUUAAAAUGUG